rnacentral:rRNA from 1 species
AGAGUUUAUGGGGGAUACCUUGGCAUUCAGAAGCGAUGAAGGACGUGGUUACCAACGAAAUGCUUCGGGGAGCUGGAAACAAGCUACGAUCCGGAGGUCUCCGAAUGAGGAAACUUCGAUACUACUUAUUGAAUCCAUAAAUAAGAAAGAGCGAACCUAGGGAACUGAAACAUCUUAGUACCUAGAGGAAAAGAAAGUAAAAACGAUUCCCUUAGUAGCGGCGAGCGAAAUGGGAACAGCCUAAACUUCAUUUGAAGGGUAGUGGGACAAUUAUGAAUGAUUAAAUGUGACAAUUAGACGAAUUUAGUUGGAAUGCUAAACCAAAGAGGGUGAUAGUCCCGUAGUCGAAAAUUGAAACAAUCAAAUUGAAUCCCAAGUAGCAUGGGGCACGUGAAAUCCCGUGUGAAUCAGCGAGGACCACCUCGUAAGGCUAAAUAUUCCUGAAUGACCGAUAGUGAAAUAGUACCGUGAGGGAAAGGUGAAAAGAACCCCGGGAGGGGAGUGAAAAGAACAUGAAACCAUAAACUUACAAUCAGUAGGAGGACGACUAAAACGUCUGACUGCGUGCCUGUUGAAGAAUGAGCCGGCGACUUAUAGGUAGUGGCAGGUUAAGGCAGAGAAUGCCGGAGCCAUAGUGAAAGCGAGCCUGAAUAGGGCAUUUGUCACUGGUUAUAGACCCGAACCCGGAUGAUCUAACCAUGGUCAGGUUGAAGCUUAGGUAAUACUAAGUGGAGGACCGAACCGACUGAUGUUGAAAAAUCAGCGGAUGAAUUGUGGUUAGGGGUGAAAUGCCAAUCGAAUUCGGAGCUAGCUGGUUCUCCCCGAAAUGCGUUUUGGCGCAGCGAUGAAUGUUAUAGCUUAGGGGUAAAGCACUGUUACGUAUGCGGGCUGGUAAUUCGGUACCAAAUCGUUGCAAACUAAGAAUACUAAGUGUACAGUUCAUCAGUGAGACUGUGGGGGAUAAGCUCCAUUGUCAAGAGGGAAACAGCCCAGAGCACCAGUUAAGGCCCCUAAAUAAUUGCUAAGUGAUAAAGGAGGUGGGAGUGCACAGACAAUCAGGAGGUUUGCUUAGAAGCAGCAACCCUUUAAAGAGUGCGUAAUAGCUCACUGAUCGAGUAAACCUGCGCCGAAAAUGUACGGGACUAAGUAAUUUGCCGAAACUGUGCGAUAUAUAAAGAUAUAUCGGUAGGGGAGCGUUCUGUUGUAGGUUGAAGUAAUAGCGUAAGCGGUUAUCGACGAAGCAGAAGUGAGAAUGUCGGCUUGAGUAACGAAAAUAUAGGUGAGAAUCCUAUACCCCGAAAACCCAAGGUUUCCUCCGGAAGGCUCGUCCGCGGAGGGUAAGUCAGGACCUAAGGCGAGGCUGAAAAGCGUAGUCGAUGGACAACGGGUUAAUAUUCCCGUACCAUUAUUUGUUGAUAUCGAGGGACGGAGAAGGCUAAGCUGGCCGGAUAUUGGUUUACCGGUUUAAACGUUCGAGAUGAUGAGAAACGGCGAAAACGUUUUGAGUUGAGGCGUGAAUACGAGAUGCUACGGCGUCGAAGCAGUCUAUGUCAUACUUCCAAGAAAAGCUUGCACUGUCAUAAACAAAUAAUGCCUGUACCAUAACCGACACAGGUGGGUAGGUAGAGUAUACUAAGGGGCGCGAGAUAACUCUCUCUAAGGAACUCGGCAAAAUGACUCCGUAACUUCGGGAGAAGGAGUGCCUUAUUUAUAAGGUUGCAAUAACAAGACCCAAGCAACUGUUUAUCAAAAACACAGGUCUCCGCUAAGUCGUAAGACGAUGUAUGGGGGCUGACGCCUGCCCAGUGCCAGAAGGUUAAAGAAGUUGGUUAGCGUAAGCGAAGCUGAUGACUGAAGCCCUGGUGAACGGCGGCCGUAACUAUAACGGUCCUAAGGUAGCGAAAUUCCUUGUCGGGUAAGUUCCGACCCGCACGAAAGGCGUAAUGAUUUGGGUACUGUCUCGGAGAGGGGCUCGGUGAAAUAGACUUGUCUGUGAAGAUGCGGACUACCUGCACCUGGACAGAAAGACCCUAUGAAGCUUUACUGUAACCUGAAAUUGAAAUUGGACUUUAUUUGCGCAGUAUAGGUGGGAGGCUUUGAAGAUAUUCUUGCGGGAAUAUUGGAGCCAUCAGUGAGAUACCACUC